UCUCCACCUCCCCUGACCCCAUUAUCCUUCACAGAUGAAAGCUCCCGCUGUACGCAAACACGUCUGAGAGCUCGGUCACGCCGUAGCACAAAGAGCUAGAUCCGAGCACAGCAGGGAGGAAGUCUGCACAGAGAGGAAAGGAGAACAGUCGACAGAUGGACCCUGUUGUUCUCGGCAGGGACCGUUAUGUGAUAGCGGGCCAUGCGGGCUUUAAAGACGGAUGAAAACGGGCCGCAGAUGACUCCUUCAUUCGGACUCUUGAGUUAAGAUGGUGUCUAAUUUGUGAAGCGGACCAGUCCCUCCUGCACUUUAACACAACCAUAACAUGAUGCUGCCACCACCUUACCAGGUCAUGUUGGUGCAGGACUAGUUUCACGGUGGAUAAGGAAACGCUCUCACCAGCUUCUGCCAGCAUCUUCACAAGCUCUUCUGUAUAAGCCGUCUGUGAGUCAGAGAAGCAGCCAAGAGCUCCAUGGUGUCUCUGGGGAGGCUGCAGAGAUCAGCGGCUCAGGUGGGAGAACUUCUUGGCAUGCACGGCACAAAUCUGUCCUUUAAGGGCAGAGCCAGGUGAGGUCUAGUUCGCGGGUUGACACAUGCCCUGAAUGGGACACGGCAAACAAAUGGAAGAAGAUGUUCCGGUCAGAUGAGCCCAAA